GAUGAACGCUGGCGGCGUGCCUAAUACAUGCAAGUCGAGCGAACAGACGAGGAGCUUGCUCCCCUGACGUUAGCGGCGGACGGGUGAGUAACACGUGGAUAACCUACCUAUAAGACUGGGAUAACUUCGGGAAACCGGAGCUAAUACCGGAUAAUAUAUUGAACCGCAUGGUUCAGUAGUGAAAGACGGUUUUGCUGUCACUUAUAGAUGGAUCCGCGCCGCAUUAGCUAGUUGGUAAGGUAACGGCUUACCAAGGCAACGAUGCGUAGCCGACCUGAGAGGGUGAUCGGCCACACUGGAACUGAGACACGGUCCAGACUCCUACGGGAGGCAGCAGUAGGGAAUCUUCCGCAAUGGGCGAAAGCCUGACGGAGCAACGCCGCGUGAGUGAUGAAGGUCUUCGGAUCGUAAAACUCUGUUAUUAGGGAAGAACAAAUGUGUAAGUAACUAUGCACGUCUUGACGGUACCUAAUCAGAAAGCCACGGCUAACUACGUG
rnacentral:rRNA from 1 species